GUACCUUGUGUAUCAGGGUUCAUUAAAUUCUAUUAUUUAUUUUUGUUUCCCGAUUUUAAAGGAGUUAAUGAUUUAUUUUAGUUAUUGUUUCAAUAUUAUUAAUAAUAGGUCAUUGGUAGUGAAAUGUUAUUCGUCUUUAGUGGUUUCUGGUUUUUCAAGAAAUGAAUUCAAUUCAUGCUUUUAUUUAAUUUAUUUAUUGGAAUGUUUUCUUUAUUUAUUGGUUUGGAUAGUAAUUAUUAUGUAAUUAGUAAAUUGUAUUUUAUGUUGUUUGUGUAUGUGUUAAAUUCUUUUGAGGAAUUAGGCAAAUAUUUUCAUGUCCGCCUGUUUAACAAAAACAUCUUUUCUUGUUAGUUUUUGAAGUAUGGCCUGCCCACUGACUUUGUUUGUUGAAGGGCCGCGGUAUUUUGACCGUGCAAAGGUAGCAUAAUCAUUAGUUCUUUAAUUGUGAUCUGGUAUGAAUGGCUUGACGAGACGUGCACUGUCUUAAAGGUUGAAUAUUUAGUUGAAUUUGGUUUUUGAGUUAAAAUUCUUAAAUGUUUUUAUGGGACGAGAAGACCCUAUAGAGUUUGACAUUUGAUUUAUUUUCUGUUAUUUGUUUGUAUUGUUUUAUUGAGUGAUUUAGGUGUUUUGUUGGGGUGAUGGGAGGAAUAUCAAUUAACUCCUCUUUAUUUUUUAUACUUAUCUGUAUUUUUUUGAUCCAUUUAUUUUGAUUAUAAGAUUAAAUUACCUUAGGGAUAACAGCGUUAUCUUCCUUGAGAGUUCUUAUUGGCGGGAAGGUUUGCGACCUCGAUGUUGGAUUAAGGUAAAUUUUUGGUGUAGGAGCUGAAAGUGAUUGGGUCUGUUCGACCUUUAAAACCUUACAUGAUCUGAGUUCAGACCGGCGUGAGCCAGGUUGGUUUCUAUCUAUAAUACUAUUUAUACCUUAGUACGAGAGGACCGGGUAUUUGGAAUAAUUUUAUUUUGUAUGAUUAUUAUUAAUGUUGUUGACUAUUUUGGCAGAUAAGUGC
rnacentral:rRNA from 1 species